GCCAAUAUUCCUACCAAUCUAAAGACAACAGAUCUCACUUGAUCUGAAAAGCUAAGUAGACUUGGGUCAGGUUAUUAUUUGGAUAGAUUACCACGGAAUGCUGGGUGGCA
rnacentral:rRNA from 1 species